rnacentral:rRNA from 1 species
UAGUCCACGCCGUAAACGAUGUCAACUAGCCGUCGGGUUCAUUUAGGAAUUUGGUGGCGCAGCUAACGCGAUAAGUUGACCGCCUGGGGAGUACGGCCGCAAGGUUAAAACUCAAAGGAAUUGACGGGGCCCGCACAAGCGGUGGAGCAUGUGGUUUAAUUCGAUGCAACGCGAAGAACCUUACCAGCCCUUGACAUCCAGUGAACUUUCUAGAGAUAGAUUGGUGCCUUCGGGAACACUGUGACAGGUGCUGCAUGGCUGUCGUCAGCUCGUGCCGUGAGAUGUUGGGUUAAGUCCCGCAACGAGCGCAACCCUCGUCCUUAGUUGCCAGCAUUAAGUUGGGGACUCUAGGGAGACCGCCGGGGAAAACUCGGGAGGAAGGUGAGGAUGACGUCAAGUCAGCAUGCCCCUUAUGUCUUGGGGCUACACACGUACUACAAUGGUUGGGGACAAAGGGGAAGCGAAACUGCG